UGCUUCUAAGCCACAGUUUGAGCUCUACGGCCGCCUGCUGUUCUCCGGUCCGCCGCUCUCCACCAGAGGGCAGCAUGGAGGCGGGAGGCAGAGGAACAGCAGCAGCAGAAGAAGAACCAGGAAGUACAAUCAAAGCAGAUCAUAAGCAGGUGGUGCGUGAGGCUCUGAGUGAUGACAGGAAGGUGAUGACCAAGAGCUCAGCCGUUGAUUUAGUCACUCAAACUGACCAGAAGGUGGAAAAACUCAUCAUCCAAUCAGUGAAAGAGAAAUUCCCUCAGCACAGGUUCAUAGGGGAGGAGUCCGUAGCGGCAGGUGAGCCGAGCAUCCUGACGGAUGAUCCCACCUGGAUCAUCGAUCCCAUCGACGGAACAACCAACUUCGUUCACGCGUUUCCCUUCGUCGCCAUCUCCAUCGGCUUCACCAUCAACAAGAGGGUGGAGGUGGGCGUGGUCUACAGCUGCCUGGAGGACAAGAUGUUCACCGCCCGGCGGGGCGGGGGCGCAUUCUGCAACGGGGAGCCGCUGCAGGUUUCUGAUCAGACAGAUGUUCACCGUUCCAUCAUCGCCACCGAGUUCGGAUCCAACAGAGACCCAGAAGUCGUGGACAAAAUCUUCAGUAGCCUGAGGAACAUCCUGAGCCUCCCAGUGCACGGGUACUGUAGUACCUCUAGUACCUGUAGUACCUGUAGUACUACAGCUCCUUGUUGCCCCGUGUUGCCUGCAUCUCACCCUGUGUGUCUCCAGGGUGCGCGGCGCCGGCACCGCGGCCGUCAACCUGAGCCUGGUUGCGUCCGGCUGCGUGGAGGCCUACUAUGAGAUGGGGAUGCACGUCUGGGACAUUGCUGCCGGAUCAUUGCUGGUUCUGGAGGCCGGAGGAAUCGUGAUGGAUGUGGACGGUGGUGACGCAGACCUGAUGUCCAGGAGGAUCUUGGCGGCCAACAACCGCAGCGUGGCGCUGAGGCUGGUGGAGCAGAUCGCCCCCUACAGGCCGGACAGAGAUGACGCGCCGCCUGCUGCCUGUGAUUAAAUGGUCCAGCCAGAACAUAGAGUCCGAGUCUUUA